GGGGAUAUAGCUCAGUUGGUAGAGCUCCGCUCUUGCAAGGUGAAUGCCAGCGGUUCGAGUCCGCUUAUCUCCA
rnacentral:tRNA from 1 species